rnacentral:rRNA from 1 species
CAUGGCCGCGGGAUUGUGCCAGCAGCCGCGGUAAUACGUAGGGUCCGAGCGUUGUCCGGAAUUACUGGGCGUAAAGAGCUCGUAGGUGGUUUGUCGCGUUGUUCGUGAAAACUCACAGCUUAACUGUGGGCGUGCGGGCGAUACGGGCAGACUAGAGUACUGCAGGGGAGACUGGAAUUCCUGGUGUAGCGGUGGAAUGCGCAGAUAUCAGGAGGAACACCGGUGGCGAAGGCGGGUCUCUGGGCAGUWACUGACGCUGAGGAGCGAAAGCGUGGGGAGCGAACAGGAUUAGAUACCCUGGUAGUCCACGCCGUAAACGGUGGGUACUAGGUGUGGGUUUCCUUCCUUGGGAUCCGUGCCGUAGCUAACGCAUUAAGUACCCCGCCUGGGGAGUACGGCCGCAAGGCUAAAACUCAAAGGAAUUGACGG